GACGAACGCUGGCGGCGUGCUUAACACAUGCAAGUCGAACGAUGAAGCCGCUUCGGUGGUGGAUUAGUGGCGAACGGGUGAGUAACACGUGGGCAAUCUGACCUGCACUCUGGGACAAGCCCUGGAAACGGGGUCUAAUACCGGAUACGACCAUCGGCCGCAUGGCCUGGUGGUGGAAAGCUCUGGUGGUGCAGGAUGAGCCCGCGGCCUAUCAGCUUGUUGGGGGGGUGAUGGCCUACCAAGGCGACGACGGGUAGCCGGCCGGAGAGGGCGAGCCGGGACACUGGGACGGAGGCACGGCGCGGACGCCGACGGGAGGCAGCGGGGGGGAAUAUUGCACAAUGGGCGCAAGCCUGAUGCAGCGACGCCGCGUGGGGGAUGACGGCCUUCGGGUUGUAAACCUCUUUCAGCAGGGAAGAAGCUUUCGGGUGACGGUACCUGCAGAAGAAGCACCGGCUAACUACGUGCCAGCAGCCGCCGUAA
rnacentral:rRNA from 1 species